rnacentral:rRNA from 1 species
UACGUAGGUGGCGAGCGUUAUCCGGAAUUACUGGGCGUAAAGCGCACGCAGGCGGUUUCUUAAGUUUGACGUGAAAACUCCUGGCUUAACUGGGAGAGGUCGUUGAAGACUGGGGAACUUGAGGCAAUGAGAGGGAUGUAGAAUUCACGGUGUAGUGGUGGAAUGCGUAGAUAUCGUGAGGAAUACCAGUGGCGAAAGCGACAUCCUGGCAUUAGCCUGACGCUCAUGUGCGAAAGCGUGGGGAGCGAACGGGG